rnacentral:rRNA from 1 species
CCUACGGGUGGCUGCAGUGAGGAAUAUUGGUCAAUGGGCGGAAGCCUGAACCAGCCAAGUAGCGUGCGGGAUGACGGCCCUACGGGUUGUAAACCGCUUUUGCCCGGGGACAACACCCUCCCCUCGUGGCGUUCUGCAGGUACCGGUCGACUAAGCGCCGGCUAAUUCCGUGCCAGCAGCCGCGGUAAUACGGAGGGCGCGAGCGUUAUCCGGAUUCAUUGGGCUUAAAGGGUGCGUAGGCGGGCGAUCAAGUCAGCUGUAAAAUCGCGCGGCUCAACCGCUCCGCGCCGUUGACACUGGAUGUCUUGAGUUAACAACAGGUAGGCGGAAUGCGUGGGGUAGCGGUGAAAUGCAUAGAUAUCACGCGGAACCCCGAUUGCGAAGGCAGCCUGCCGGCGCGCGACUGACGCUGAGGCUCGAAGGUGUGGGUAUCAAACAGGAUUAGAUACCCCUGUAGUC